rnacentral:rRNA from 1 species
UACAGAGACCUCAAGCGUUAUCCGGAAUCAUUGGGCGUAAAGCGUACCGAUAGGUGGUUUUGCAAGUCAGAAGUGAAAUCUCAAGGCUCAACUUUGAGACUGUCUUUUGAAACUGCAAAACUAGAGGGGCAAAGAGGAAGCUGGAACGAGCGGUGUAGUAGUGAAAUGCGUUGAUAUCGCUCGGAACACCAAUAGCGUAGGCAGGCUUCUGGGUGCCACCUGACACUGCUAGGACGAAAGCGUGGGGAGCGAAUGGG